UAUGGAAUCUUCGGCCAUGGACGGAAGUCUGACCGAUCAACGCCGCGUGAGUGAAGAAGGUUUUCGGAUCGUAAAGCUCUGUUGUAAGACAAGAACGAGUGUGAUAGUGGACCGUUCACACUGUGACUGUUCUUANCCAAGCUUUCGGCUAACUACGUGCCUACAGCCGCGAUAAUACGUAUGUCCCGAGCGUUGUCCGGAUUUAUUGGGCGUAUCCCGAGCGCAGGCGGUUAUACCAGUCUGAACUUAAAGGCUGUGGCUUAACCAUAGUACGCUUUGUAAACUGUUUAACUUGAGUGCAAGAGGGGACAGUGGAAUUCCAUGUGUAACGGUGAAAUGCGUACAUAUAUUUACGAACACCGGUGGCGACCUCGGCUCUAUGGCUUGUGCCUGACGCUAAUGCUCCAACGCUUGCUCAGCAAACACGAUUAAAUUCCCUGCUUCUCCGCGCCGUAAACUAUGAGUGCUAGGUGUUAGACCCUUUCCGGGGUUUACUGCCGUAGCUGACGCAUUACGCACUCCGCCUGGGGAGUACGACCGCUCGGUUG
rnacentral:rRNA from 1 species